UUUGAAUUAAACUGAAAUGCUCUCUAAUCUACCACGUAUCGUAAUUUUUGCAAAUGUGCAAUUUUUUCUUUCUUGAUGCGAGGAAUGGAAUGCAGCGCCUUACAAAUGCCGAGCAUGCGCUGUACAGCUGAGCUACUCCCCCAGCUCCCAAAAUGUGCAAGUUUGGAAGACACCUUCCUUCUGCAUUAUAUAAAGACCACAGAUGAUGAGGAUGUCAUCUCUAAACCCAAAAGGAAGUAGAUCACGGAAUGAAAUAUUCUGCAAAUCAAGACAUUACUUACAAAACCACUCCAGAAUUUUCUCGAAGAAAGAAGAUAUUUUUUAUAUGAAGGAAAGUAAAUGCCUCUGAAAUGUGAGCUGCAUGGGACGGGCUCUCUUGGGUUCUCUGGGCUCUCUCCGUCUGGCUCUCAAGGGGCUCUCAGUGCCUGCAAGAGCCAGGCACAAGACAGCUGCUUCAGGAGUGCUUGUUGGGAAACGAGUGCCUUGGUUUCCUUUUCUUCACCUGUCACCAAUUUGCGGAAUACGAAAGCUUCUCCUCAGUUCUGGUUUAGCGAUGCCUACAUGGUGUUUCAGAAUCAGCAUGGUGAAGUGGAUCACAGGCAAACCCUGUUUUCUCAGAGUAGUCAGCUGUUUCUCAGGAAAGAUAUUUAAUUAGAGAACACGUUAAAAGAAGCCAUGCAUGUGUCCAAAAUGAUGACUGCAGGGGGAAACAACCUCCAGCCAUCAAGCGCACUAACGAGCUGAAAUUCGGCUCCCCAUCACUGGUCUUGGAGUUGUGCUCUGCAGACAUCUGUGGGGCUGGCUCAAGUAUGCUGAGGACAUCCUCAGGGAGGGGAGACAUUGAAUGGGCCUCCAGAUCCCUACCUCUCCCCUGCUCCUCCAACACGCCUGUCUCACUUAAAUAAAGGAUUUCAUGGAUGAGUAAG